rnacentral:rRNA from 1 species
AUGAGGGUGCUGAAGGAAUGUGGAGACUGCGUCUGCGCCGUGCCAACCUGCCCGCCCACGACUCAACACAGCUCAGUGGAGCAUGUCCAGCAACUCUGGAAGGAAUGGGAGAUCCAGUUGCUCGUGCUAGCGAGCUUCUCCCUUCAAGUCAUCCUCCUCUUCUCUGCAGCGUUCCGGAAGCGCCACAGCUCCCGCGUGCUGAGCGCGCUGUUGUGGCUGUCAUACCUAUCGGCAGACUCCAUCGCGGUCUUCGUCCUCGGACGCCUCGCCGCCCACACUAGUGACCCACAGCACCAGCUUGUGCUAUUUUGGGCGCCCUUCCUGCUGCUCCACCUUGGCGGACAGGACACCAUCACCGCCUUCUCCAUGGAGGACUGCAUGCUGUGGAAGCGCCACCUGCUGAACUUCACCAUCCAGGUGGCACUGGCCAUUUACAUCGUCCGCAAGCAGUGGCACGGAGGCAGUCAGCUUGUAGCUCCCAUGGUACUAAUGUUCAUCUCUGGAACUAUUAAAUAUGCUGAGAGAAUUAGGGCACUCAGGAGAGCAGGCUCAAGGAGCAGCAGCUUCAAUGCCGGUGGGAGGCAUCUUGCCUCCGGCUUGAGCAGAUAUUAUGAUGGCCUGCUAUCAAUAAUUUCUGAGAAGAAAGAGGAAAAUUUCGAACAUGUGAUGGAUGUGACCUGCGGGGGCUUCUUUAUGAAGUUUGAUUUUUUGAUGGACGUAAAUCCUCCAUUUAGCGGAAUUGAUUUACAGGAUUUAAGGAUUGCAAUUGCAGAAAGGAUUCACAGGUUUGACGAUGGAGCUAAUGAUCUAGUGUACAAGAUUGUUGAGAUUCAACUCUCACUGGUACAUGACUACUUGUACACCAAGUUUGGACGGGUCACUGGUGUGUUACAUCGACUCAUCACACUUGUCCUAACCUCUACGGCUCUCGUUUUGUUUUUGGAAGCCAGGGUUGAUCAUCAAUUGCAGGGACUAGUCAACUACAGUAGAGCUGAUGUUACCAUAUCUUACAUAUUGCUUGUGGGCGCUGUCACAAUGGAGAUAUCCUCUACCUUCAUGUGGUCCCUGUUAUCAUAUUGGCCAUACAUGCCAAUUGCAUAUUGGCGGACAUUUGAUUAUGACAAAAUCUUCCAUUGUGUACCCAAGGGUCUCCAUCCAGGAAGCAGAAUGGAGUGGCCGGGGAAGAUGAAACAGUAUAACAUGCUUGAUGGAUGCAUCCAGGAGAUACAAGCUGGCCGACUGGAACGGAUUAUGGGCAGUAUCGGCAUCAAGCGGGAUUACACAACACAUGUCGUCAUAUCUCCUGAGGUAAAGAAGGUGCUACUUGUAAAACUGCUUGAGAUAAAAACCAAUGCACCUGGUGGUGGGGGAUUGUCCUCCAGCAGCUUCCGUGGCCAAUGGUCUCAAUGGUGGGCUGCGCUCCAGACCAAAGAUUAUCUUGGUGCAGGUCAACAAUCUGAAAGUGCAGCUCAACGGGCACUUCAGUUAAGCAACAUCCAAGGUUUGGCUUUUGUGUCAAGUGUCUAUCUUUGGCACAUGGUGACUGAUAUAUGCUUAGUGGCCGAUAAGACUGCCAGUGCCUCCGAAUUCAGAAGUUUUAGCCAAGCAUUGUCCAAUUACAUGAUGUAUCUUGUCGCCAAGCGUAAUGUGAUGCUUGAUAGCUGUGCGUAUCAUGUGCUUCAUAAAAGUCGACAUAGUUUGUUGUGCACUCGUCCUGCUAUCGUUGCUGAUCGGAGUGCGUUCCUCCAGAAAGUCUAUCACGGUGUCUACCAUGGUACCCGUGCACUUGACCAAGCUCGUGAGGUCUCCUUGGAAUUGCUUAGGCCCGAAGGAGCAGCUUAUCGGUGGGAGCUGAUUGCAACGGUAUGGGUGGAUAUGCUAUGCUACAUUGCUCGUAAUUGUGGGGCUGAAUUCCACGCCAAACAUCUAAUCACUGGCGGGGAGUUCGUUAGUCAUGUCAAAAUUGUUCUGGUUGUUCUAGGCUUUUCCUUCCAUGAGUAUGAAGAGGUCGAGCUAGCCUGA